GCUUCAAGUUCCGCAGCCCAAGUGCGGAGGGCGGAGACUGUGCCGACAUGGAGCUGGGCCUCGCGGGUCGCCGGGUGCUGGUCACCGGAGCAGGCAAAGGUAUCGGGCGCGGCACGGUCCAGGCGCUGCACGCGGCGGGCGCGCGGGUGGUGGCUGUGAGCCGGACACAGGCGGAUCUUGACAGCCUUGUCCGCGAGUGCCCGGGGAUAGAACCCGUGUGCGUGGACCUGGGUGACUGGGAGGCCACCGAGCGGGCGCUGGGCAGCGUGGGCCCCGUGGACCUGCUGGUGAACAACGCUGCUAUCGCCCUGCUGCAGCCCUUCCUGGAGGUCACCAAGGAGGCCUUUGACAGAUCCUUUGAGGUGAACCUGCGUGCAGUCAUCCAGGUGUCACAGAUUGUGGCCAGGGGCUUAAUAGCCCGGGGAGUCCCAGGGGCCAUCGUGAAUGUCUCCAGCCAGGGCUCCCAGCGGGCAGUAACUGACCAUAGCGUCUACUCCCCACCCCAGCUGCAGCCUCACCCUCAUCACCAACCCCAGCCACAGCCUCAGCCUCAUUACCAACCCCAGCCGCAGCCAGCUUGGGUUCCUCUUCAUAGGCUCCACCAAGGGUGCCCUGGACAUGCUGACCAAGGUGAUGGCCCUAGAGCUUGGGCCCCACAAGAUCCGAGUGAAUGCAGUAAACCCCACAGUGGUGAUGACACCCAUGGGCCAGGCCGCCUGGAGUGACCCUCACAAGGCCAAGACUAUGCUGGACCGAAUCCCACUUGGCAAGUUUGCUGCUAAUGAGUAAGACAAAAGGGAAACGAGGACGUCAAGCGUCUCCACUUCGUCGGUGAUCUGAGCCACUUUGUUGAAUCAGAUGAUGGUUUUCAGAAAUUAGAAGGGCGUUUCCCCAACUUGUGCUAUUCACCAUGUAAUGAGCACAGACACAGCACCCUGAAGUCUAAUCUGCAUUUUAUCAUCUUAGGUCUAGACAAGUAACCGUAAGUCAAGCCCCCUCCCACCACAGCUGAUCUCAAGCUACCCGUUAGAUGUCAUUGAACGUGGAGCUGGAGGAGAUGCCCUCAGCACCCCGUUAUGUGGUGUUUGUGUCCAUAGGUCCCACAGAUGUACAUAACCGGGGGGCGGAGAAAAGUCAUGUAUGCAGAAAUAACUAGGAAGUGAUGUUUGCUGAUUUUGCUUUUAAUAACACAAAUUGUAAACUUCUAUAA